GGAGGCACUAGAGGCGGCAAGAGCGGGUCCGGGGAGAUGUGCUCUGGGGUUGGAAAAAGCGAAAAUGAAAAGAAAAAUCGUACGAGAAAGCAUGAGAUGGGGAAGUGAGUUUGAACCUGAUAUCGUUUGAGACUAGAAUGUGACAGUUAUAACCACUUACCAUUUUUAGGAAGUUCUGUUGUCCACAUCAGAGGCCUUGGGAUGACUUUCUAACAGCAGAGGACCCUCGCCAGUCUUUCUCUAUAUCCUCUUCCAAACACAUUAUGAAAAGACGAGUCUGGGAAAGAGAGAAUGGUUAAGUAAUGCUUUCUCCAAAGUCAUGUGAAACCACUAUCAAACCCUGGCUCCAGUCGACUCUUUGAUAGGCACUUACGCUCUCAUAGUCAGGGUCCACUCAAGCCCUCUCGGCAACUACGGUCGGGUGCUUUCAUCUUCAUUUGCCCCUGGGCCAUGGCUCACUAGUUCCUGCUGGCUUUGCAAAGGCUUGUACUCUGGUGGAAGCCUUUUCUUUCUGAGCAGAGCGAUCUGCUACAGAACUUUUCUGUGCUGUUUCUCUAUCAAGUAGUGUUGGCACAGUCCCCGGACUCCCAGGUCUUAAGAUGGUGCCAUGUAGACACCACUCAGACCACCUUGUGCUGAGUUGCAGGUCCCUGUCAGCCCCUUAAAGUUCAAACAGCUGCUUCACUCCUUUCUGGGACGACUGAUCUUUCCUCUGGGAUCACCCAUAGAUGUGCUCAAGAAUUUUUGACUUAGGUGAUUGAAACAGUACCUUCUUGUGCUCGUAUUCCAAAUUAGACUGAGGAAUUGCCAAUUCCCAAGCGAGGCACAGUGACCCCCACCUAAAAUUCUAGUGUCUAAAAGACUGAGACUGGAGAAUUACCAAGGCCUGGAUUACAGUCUCAACAAAAAUAAAUAAAUAAAUAAAUGUAUAAAGAGGUUAGAAUCCCAAAACUUAGCGUGUAAUAUCUCAACUCAAUCAAAAGUUAUUUUGUGUCUUCAAAACUAGAAAAUUCUCUGGCCUCCAGACCUUAGUUGUGAUCUAUUUAUCACCACAAUUGCCUGCCAGCACCAUGACUGCCUACUUCUAAAACCAGCUUCCUUAAUUCACUGUUCCACCAUGCACUUUUUAUUAGCUCAAUGCUGUCUUCAUAGUCACCUUGGCUAAAUCUGUAGAGUAGCCCGUUUCUGCCUCUGGUUCCCAUAUUGAAGAUCUAAACCUUGGCAUCUCUGUAGUAUUAAAAAAGGGAAGAAUGAAAAAGGCUGGGCAUGGUGGUGUGUGCAUCCAGUCUCAGCACUUCAGAGAAGGCAAAAGGAUGAGGUGUUGAAGAUAAUACCUAUAUAGUGAAUUCAAGGCCACCCUGGGCAGAAGGCUCAGUAGGUAAAGGUGCUUGCCACCAUGCUUGAUGACCUGAGUCCUUGGAACCCACAUGACAGAAGUAGAGAACAGACUUCUGCCAAUUAUUCUCCAGCCUCCAUAUACCCUCAGUGGCAUGUUCAUGUCCAUAGACAAAUAAAUAAAUACAUAAACAUUUUAAAAGAAAAAUCAAAGCAAGAACAUUGGACAGUUUGUUGAUGUGUUCUGUUUCUAAUGUGGUUAAAGAUCCUAGGCCAUUUUGUUUCAGCUCAGUACUGUCUCCUGUAGCACCUAGAUGUUUGAGCAUUUGGUGUCAUAUCUGAAGGUUUGCUGUGCUGGACUUCAGAAUACCUCCCAUGCCCUUAUACCCAAGUUCUACCUGUUUACCAAGACUCACCUGUUAAAUAUAUUGCUCAUUUUUCUGUUCUGUA
rnacentral:lncRNA from 1 species